rnacentral:lncRNA from 1 species
CUUAACAUAGGGCAUGUAACAGGACAAAUGAGAUAAAAUAAUGACAACCAAGUAAGUUUUAUCCAGUCCAUUUCUAAACUGACAAGAAUACCUUAUUCAAUACCUUAUAUAGGUCAUCUGACAGAUACUUGAGGGCUGUUUGCACACAUCAAGUGUGUUGGCAGGCAGGGAGGGGAGCAGUAAAAGCUGAGGGUGCUUUCUCACUAACUAGCAGAUGCAGUAAUGCCACAUAAGAAAACUAAGGACUGAAUAAAUGACUUUGGCAUCUAUUCUAUUUUCCCUUUUUACUUACAUGUAAAUUACUUUUACAGCCUACUGAAGGACAGGCAAUUCUCAUCCCCCUCCCGCUUCAUACAUACGUGCCACAAGCACCCAAACUUGUCACUUAUGCAAUGGACUGACCAAAACAAAACAAAAAACAGAAAUGUUUUUUGAAAGACACGGAUUACCCACAUUUUGGGAGUGUAACCAGAGCUCUGUUACAGAUAUGAAAACAAAAUGUGACACAAUGAAGAAGCUGCAUAAAAAUACUGAAACCUAAGGUAUCUGUAGUAUAUAGGAUGUACCCUGGCUUACCAUAGAAAAGUCUU